rnacentral:rRNA from 1 species
AACGAACGCUGGCGGCAUGCCUAACACAUGCAAGUCGAACGAGACCUUCGGGUCUAGUGGCGCACGGGUGCGUAACACGUGGGAAUUUGCCUCGGGGUAUGGAAUAACUCAGGGAAACUUGAGCUAAUACCAUAUAAUGUCUUCGGACCAAAGAUUUAUCGCCCUGAGAUAAGCCCGCGUAGGAUUAGCUAGUUGGUGAGGUAAAGGCUCACCAAGGCGACGAUCCGUAACUGGUCUGAGAGGAUGAUCAGUCACACUGGAACUGAGACACGGUCCAGACUCCUACGGGAGGCAGCAGUGGGGAAUAUUGGACAAUGGGCGAAAGCCUGAUCCAGCCAUGCCGCGUGUGUGAAGAAGGUCUUCGGAUUGUAAAGCACUUUAAAGUUGGGAGGAAGGGCAGUAAGUUAAUACCUUGCUGUUUUGACGUUACCAACAGAAUAAGCACCGGCUAACUUCGUGCCAGCAGCCGCGGUAAAGUGACUACUG